AACGGCAGCAUAGGAGCUUGCUCCUGAUGGCGAGUGGCGAACGGGUGAGUAAUAUAUCGGAACGUGCCCUAGAGUGGGGGAUAACUACUCNAAANAUUANCUAAUACCGCAUACNAUCUACGGAUGAAAGUGGGGGAUC
rnacentral:rRNA from 1 species